rnacentral:rRNA from 1 species
CAAGGCUUGACAUAUACAGGAAUAUGGCAGAGAUGUCAUAGCCGCAAGGUCUGUAUACAGGUGGUGCAUGGUUGUCGUCAGCUCGUGUCGUGAGAUGUUGGGUUAAGUCCCGCAACGAGCGCAACCCUCGUUCUGUGUUGCCAGCAUUUAGUUGGGGACUCACAGGAGACUGCCGGGGUUAACUCGGAGGAAGGUGGGGAUGACGUCAAAUCAUCAUGCCCCUUAUGUCUUGGGCUGCACGCAUGCUACAAUGGCUGGUACAAACGGCUGCGAUACCGCAAGGUGGAGCGAAUCCGAGAAAGCCAGUCUCAGUUCGGAUUGGGGUCUGCAACUCGACCCCAUGAAGUCGGAGUUGCUAGUAAUCGUAGAUCAGCAACGCUACGGUGAAUACGUUCCC